ACUUUAAACUUUGAUUUGGGCCCGGUCUUUUCACCUCCGAAUAAAUAUGCUCUUAUCUGGCAGUUAGCUAUCUGGAGGAUAAAUAUUUAUUCGCCAGAUAAAAAGUACCCGUCUUUUCACGUCAAUUUAUGUUCCAGUUAGUUAUCCGGUAGAUAAGCUUAAAAGUAAGUUUGGAUUCCGAACACACCUUCAGCUUUAACUUAACCUAACAUAAUUAGAUUCAAAGUAUUUCAAAGAUGAUUUUAUCGAUUUUAUUUCCAUUUUGGAAGAAGGAAUGAAGGAAAUAAGGAAAACAUUGAUUAUGCUGAAAUAGUUUACUGGAGAGCUUGAACAAGAGAUAUGACAAACACCUAGAAGAUGGAAUCCUGUGUUCUCAAAGAAAAAGCUAGUUCCAGAAAUAAGCUACCAAUAAUAAACUAGAGAAUGUAUUACAAGAAAGAACAACGCUAAUACCCAACAUAGCUCAAUUGCUUCAGAUAGAAAAAGAGGAGGAAAGGGUAGAACACAAGCGUGCCAGAGAAAAUUAAAGGGCAGAAGAGACACAAAAAUUCAUUGAUUUAUUAAAUUUAAUAAUUAAAUUAUACAAAGGACAAUUAAAUAAAGAAUAAAAAAUUA
rnacentral:lncRNA from 1 species